ensembl:rRNA 5S_rRNA 5S ribosomal RNA
GUCUAUGGCCAUUCCACCCUGAACACACCCGAUCUCGUCUGAUCUCAGAAGCUAAGCAGGGUCAGACCUGGUUAGUACUUAGAUGGGAGACUGCCAGGGAAUACCGGGUGCUGUAAGGC